GAUGAACGCUGGCGGCGUGCCUAAUACAUGCAAGUCGAGCGAACGGACGAGAAGCUUGCUUCUCUGAUGUUAGCGGCGGACGGGUGAUUAACACGUGGAUAACCUACCUAUACGACGGGGUUACUUCUGGCAAACCGUGUCUACGCCCGAAAAAUUUUUUGACCUUGAUGGUUCAAAGGUUAAAAAAGUUUUUUGGUUGCGUAAAAGAUGAACCAGGCUACAAUCACCAGGUGGUAAGGGUAACGGCUUACCAAGGCAAGGAGGGAUACCCGACCUCAGAGGGUCGUCCGACACACUGGAACUGAGAAACAGCCCAGACUCCUACGGGAGGAAGCAGUAGGGAAUCUUCCGCGAUGGGCGAAAGCCUGAUGGAGCAACGCCGCGUGAGUGCUGAAGGUCUUCGGAUCCUAAAACUAUGUAAUUAGGGAAGAUCAUAUGUGUAAGUACCUGUGCAGAUCUUGACGGUACCGAAUCAGAAAGCCACGGCUAACUCCGUG
rnacentral:rRNA from 1 species